rnacentral:rRNA from 1 species
AAAAGAACUCUGAAUAGAGAGUUAAAUAGUACGUGAAACUGCUUAGAGGUUAAACCCGAUGAACCUGAAUAUCCAAUAUAGAGAAUUCAUCAUUAAUAUAUUAAUUAUAAUUAAUAUAAUGGUGUGCAUUUUCUCUAUAUAAAUGGACAUUGUAAUCUAUUAAUAUAUAUAUUUAUCAUAAGAUCAUAAGCAUAUGUUUAUUUUAAUUAAAUUGUUUCGACUUUUUAAUAUAAAAUAAUUGCUAUUGAUUUGAUAAAGUAUUGAUAGAUUUAAUCAUAUGUAUAAUGCAUAAAUUCAUAUUAUGAAUUUUAUAAUAUAGCAAUAUAUUAUAAGCAUUUAUACGAUUUACAAUGCGAAAGAUUCAGGAUACCUUCGGGAC